GUCAUCCUCUUCCUCGCUGUCCUGGGAUUCUUCCCCCUCGCUCUCCGUCUCCUCCCUCACCUGUGCCUCUGUCCCUGAACCCCUGACAACUGUACAUUCAUUUUCAUAACUGAAAUUCUUCCCCAAAGUGAUAAAUUCAUCCUUCCCCAGACAUCCGUAAUUUCUUUAUCUCUUUCCACGUUGUUACAUACCUAUCCUUAAAAAUAUUUAUAUUCUUGACUGUUAGCCAUGCCUUCCCCUUUCCCCUCAAUUAUCAAUUGUGUUGCUACUUGUAGCUCAUUUUUAUUUUGUUCUGUCAUAUUUUUCACCAGUAGGUUUGUUUUAUUUUUAUUUAACUUGAAUCCUGCCACCUGUCCGACCUCAGAUAUUGUGUAUAUUUGGUAUACUCGCCAACAGGUUUCCUACAAGGUCAUCUGCAAAUGAUCUCCUUUUAUUUGCUGUGCACCCAUCUGUUAUACCUUUUAUUUCUUCAUCAGAUCUUUUGUUCCUUGCCAGGGUCUCUAAUACAAAUAUACAAUAAACAAUAAAAUAAACAGUAACUAAAAUAAACAAUAACAGUGACAGGGGUCAACCCUAUCUUGUCCCUUUUGUAAUUUUACAUUAUCCUGUGCCUCAUUACAUCAAUACAUCAAGCCCAAAUAGGCUCACCACCCAAGCGGGGUGGGGGCGGGAAGUCAAUCCUGGCUUUCAGAAUGUAGUGAUCAGACCAUGGCACUUCCACAAGUGAGGACAUGAUCCUCACCAAAAAUCAUACUAUACCCGCACCAAAAAUCAAAUCCAGCAUGUGGUGAGAGCCCUAAUAUUGCCAUGGAAGACACCAGGUCCAGAGCCUGUGAGGAGGGGGUGGCAUCAGCAUGGACAUUGAAGUCCCCCAAAACCUCCAAGACCCAGCCUGCCACCACAUCCAACAGGCCUGACAGGGUGGCUACUGGUGGUUGGUACACCAGCCAGACAGCCCAGCUCUCCUUUGUGCCCCACACUAGGCCAGCACAUUCAAUGCUGGAGAUUGAUGGUGAUGGCAGAGCCCUGAAAGAGCAAUCCUUCUGGAUUAACAAUGCUAACCCCCCCCCCCGACCCACAGUCCCCGAUUGGUGGAGGAUGGAGAAACCUGGUGGUGACAUCUCAUAAAAGGUGAAUACUUCGCCUUCGUGCACCCAGGUCUCUGUCACACAAGCCAGGUCAACCCCCAGCGAGAUAAGUCUCGCAAGGUGGCAGUUUUAUUGCCUAUGGACCUGGCAUUGCACAGCACCAAUGACGGAGGUGGAUAAUCCCUGUUCAUGUCCCUUGGGAUGGGGCGUAGCUUGGAAGGGGUUCGAGCAUCAUCGCAUCUCAAAAUCCUUCAUAGAUAAUAUUUACCCCCACUGCCGUACCUCCCUUGCCCUUUGACGGUGGCAAUCCCAGACCCCACGCUAGCCUCCCCUGUAGAGGAAUGAUAACAUAACAUCCCUGGGCCAAGUCUCCCAAAUUGAAAAGGUAUGAUAUUGAGAUGAAAAAUCAGCAGGACAAACAUCCCCAAUAGGUAAAACCCAUCCAGCCACACCCCAGGUAGCGAGGGGAGUCCCACACUGGUCCACUAACUGUCAAUCCCUCUCUCCCUCAUAAGGUAGCCAGGCUAUUAACUCUUUCUGUGCCUUUGGGAGUAUUAAAGAGGCAUGUGCUGUAAAAUGGAGGUCACUAGCCAGCAGAGAGCCGCUUCAUGUUCAGAGACUCUGUCCGUCCUAUCUCACCCUUUGGGUGAGUCAUUCUUGUAAGUUUUAGGAGUAUUAGGCAAAGGCCCGAGUAUAGCCUGGGUGCUUGGUUUCAGCAAUCUAUCUGCGACAUGAAGUUCUUUAGAAGUUGUUGCCAUGAGAGUGUCAGAGUUGCCAGGUUCAUCUUCUCCAUCGCUAUCGCUUGGGGAAAGAUCAGGGAAUUGCAUAGUCGUCUUUCCUCGAGAUGAAGGGCUAUUGGGCAUAUAGUGUUCCGAGCUAUAAUGUCCUUAUGUUUUGAAUUGAGAUUUUAUGCUCAAUUGAGAUUUUAUGCUCUUUAUGCUCAAUAAUCUCCUCUUCAGUUCUUCUAAUUCUUCUAAUUCCAAACUCACGGGUUUAUCUUCCUCCUUCGUGCAGGUAUUGUUUCUUAUUGGCGUUUGCUUUGGUUCUCUGCCGGGGACUGGCUGCCUCACUGUCUCAUCCUUGAAAACCCUUAUCAGGGGUCCUAGGAGGCCAUUUUGGAUGAAGGCAGAGUGACCGGAAAGAGGCGCCACCAGAGGAGAGGCAAAUGAAGACAUGCCACCACCGCCAUAUUGGUUGAGGGCAGUUGGGCCUAGCCUGGCCAUUUUGUGGCACUGGUCUCCCUUGUGAGCAUUUCCCUGAGCGCUAAGCUCCUUCAGGAGCUGCCCAGGUAGACUGCCACUGGCACGGGAGGCUCCACCCGAGAGAAGAAGCGCCUAGGAGGCCAGGGUAGCCCCACAAGGUGGGCUUCUGUCCCCCUGGGCGUCUUUUGGGGUACAGGGGCCUCCGCCCUGCCAACCUUUGGCCCCCCUCACCCUGCCGGCUUGCAGAUAAGGUGGGGGCGAAGGCCUGCUGGGUGCUGCUGUGAGGACGGCGCGCCUGAGGGGUGCCCUGCUGGGCUGGGGUGAGGGAGGGGGGGCUGUGAAUCCCAUCCCUCUCUCUAUGCUUUUUAUUUCUCUCUCUUCCCUCUCUCAUUUCCCAAAGAAGUCCUGGGAAUUAUAGCUCUGAGCUUCCUUUCAGUGGGUUGGACUAGAUGCCUCUUGAUGCCCCUUCCAUGUCUCCCAUGCUCCCUAUCUCUCUCACUGUUACUCUCCUUUUAAUGGCACUUCCCCCUUUUUUUUCCUAGCUGGGCCUCCAUUUCUUAGCUGGGCCGCCUCCAGGAAGCCAAGUGCUGGCGCCUGCAACUUUGCCUGCGACUGCUGGGAUUGCUCUGACAAGAUCCAUUGACACUAGUUUUGGCGUCACCAAAGGAAUCAGGGAGAUGUGCUUCAAUUCCCCUCGCAGAUAGUAUUUAACCCAUCACGGCAUCUCUCAAAGCACCCUGGGAACUGUAGUUUCCUAUGGGGGGAGAGAAUAUUCUGCACAACCUUUCCCAAGGGAACUCUGGGAGUUAUAACUCUGAGAGGGUCUCUUUGGGAAACAGAACAAACUACAGUUCCCACGAUGUUCCCCAAAGCACCAUGGGAACUAUUGCUUGCUCUGGGUGUUGAGGGUUGCGAAUCCCUUGACAGAUCUAGUUCCCAAGCCCAUUUCUUUUUCUAGGGAACUCUGGGAACUGUAGCUCAUGGGAGGAACAUCACUUGGUGUCCUGAAUUCUGGGAACUGUAGCUUGCUCAGGGCGCCUGAUUCCUUCUCCUUCUAGGCUACCGGAAUGGGCUGGAACCGCCAAGUGUCACCUUGGCCUGCGACUUUGAAGGCACCGCCUGCAGCUGGGAGGACGUCAGCAUGUCUGGGUACUGGUGGUGCCCAGGGUGGGGCAGAGGCUGGGUGUGCGGCCCCGACUCCCCCUUCAACCACAUUCUGGGCACCGACCAGGGUAAACUUGCUUCAUUUGAAAGGCAGAGAAGCAUUGCUUAGCAGUUAGAGCACCCCUUUGACCUGGCACCCCCCAACCAGGCUGGUACAUGAGCACCUCGGAGCAGCGAACCAAGCCGCCUGACUCCGCUCCCUGACCAUGAGUGACGCAGCCACAGCCUGUGAACUCCGCACCUGGUACAGUAUGGCUGAGAAAGGUAAGCUUGGGGCACUGGUCGGAAAACCAACAGGAGCAGAGCCAUGUACUUGGCCUUUUUCCCUGUGUGGAGGAAAUGCCACCAGGCACAGUUGUCGUAAUUCCGUACAUUUCUAAGCUGCAGGACAUAUCGUGGUGCUAUCAUAUAAUUAUUAUUUAUUGAUUUCCAGACCACUGACCCGCCUGGUAGGGCCAGCAUAAUGAAAUACCAUUCUUAUCAUGAAAUUUACUGAUGCCCUGCUUCCCGUCCCCCUUUGGGAUUCCUGGCAGCUGACUGAUAAAAAUGAGAGCAGUUGAGAUGAGAUGUCAUUCUGCAAUUCUCGCAGGGGUCAGGCUAGAUGACCCCCGGGUCCCAUCUCCUCUGUUUAUAUAACUAUGGUUCCCACCUGCAGGGGCCAGGCUAGAUGACGCCUGGUUCCUCACCCCUCCGCCCUUCCUGUGCAGGACUCAACGGAAGCUUCCCUGUGGAGCUGAGCCACGGCAACCACAUUGUCCCCUGUGGCGAAGCCCUGCCUCAUCCUCAGGCACCUGGCGCCCCCUGCUGGCCUACACCGGAAGAGUCCACAGUGCUUUCCAGUUAGGUCUUGGGCUCCUCGCCCUCCCCGGCCGGCUCCUUAUCUGGAGCAUGUCAAGAGCGCAGGUGACCUUCUCCUCGGUGGCGAGUGUGGCACUGGACAACGUGUAGUUCAUGAACUGUGGCCCCCAAAGUAAAGCUUUAUUUUCCGCCUCCCCAAAACCUGACCAACCAGAUAGAUUGCUUGGAGGCAACUCAUUAACCGUCCCAACAUUUCCAAGUCCCUGGAGCUGCACCCCAGGCAAGCCGUGCCUGCCAAGCAGCUGCGUGGCCCCUGCCCGCACCGAGGACUGUGGCGACAGUGGAGAUGAACGGGGUUGCGGUGACCGGUCAAGGGGGCAUUCGAGGCCAGGGGAACAUUGGCACCACCGGAAGGGAGGGGGUUACCAGGAAACCUCCCAACCAGGCCAAAGCAUUUGAGGAGGGUGCAAAGUAUGCUGGCUGAAAUGGGGCUUACCCUGGGGAAAAUCCUGAGCGGAAGUUGCAAGUUGGUGGCCACCACUGCCUCUUGUGGCAGGGAGUUCCAUAAUGUGCGCUUUGUAAAGAAGUACUUCCUUUCUUUGAUGUGUCCUGAAUCUUCCAGCGUCCAGCUCCAUGAGUUCUACCAUUAUGAGAGGGAGAAAAACUUUCCUCCAUCCACAUUCUCCAGGCCAUGUCUCAUUGGCCUGGAGAAAUCACAUCUUUGCACAAUUUAAUGCACAAACAGUCAAAGAACAAA